UAGGGAAUCUUCGGCAAUGGGGGCAACCCUGACCGAGCAACGCCGCGUGAGUGAAGAAGGUUUUCGGAUCGUAAAGCUCUGUUGUAAGUCAAGAACGGGUGUGAGAGUGGAAAGUUCACACUGUGACGGUAGCUUACCAGAAAGGGACGGCUAACUACGUGCCAGCAGCCGCGGUAAUACGUAGGUCCCGAGCGUUGUCCGGAUUUAUUGGGCGUAAAGCGAGCGCAGGCGGUUUGAUAAGU
rnacentral:rRNA from 1 species